GGAUGAUGGGUGUGAGGGGUCUGAGGAGAAUCCAGGAGGGCUGCUAGUGGCCAGUAUCUUGACUGAAGUGUUAAGUACAUAAGUAGGUCUGUUUCAUUAUAGCUAUUGAAUAGCUGUAUAGUCAGCCUUAAAUCUCCGUGACAAAAUACCUGAGAAAACCAAUUUAAAGGAGGAAGGCUUUUUUUUUUUUUUUAGCUCAUUUACGGAAAGGUUUCUGUCUAUGGUCAUUUGGUCCUGUUGUUUUUGGCCUAGAACAGCACGUGACAUCAUGGCAGAGAAUGUGUGGCAGAGGUGCUGCUCACCUCAUGACUGCCAGAAAACACGGAAAGAGAGAAGGGGCAGGGAUCACAAUGAUCCCUUGAGGGCACACCUCCUGUCAUAGUUAGGUGUGGUGUCGAGUAAAAAACACCCAAUUGACUGGCUUCGCACAGUUCUGGGUGGGACUGAAUGGAUUUAAUCAAGACCCACCCUGGGUGUGAGUGAUACCAACCAAUAGGUUUGUCUCCUGGAUGGAAUAAAAAGGGAAAGAAGAAGGAAAGCUCAUUUCUGUUUCUUCAGAGGAGCUCCAGUCUUUGCUAUCACCUUGGAUGUCCAUCUCCCGGCUUCCAGCGAACUAUUCAGCUUCCUGAUACGGAGUCACACAGGCCUCUGAGGAUCCCACAGCUGAAGAUCUACUUCAGUCUUCAGGCAAUAGCAAAGAGAUGAACCCCUACUUUGAGACACUUGAAGAAAUUGAAGACUUCCUGCAGGACUUCUCCAAUCCCUAUGAGGAGCACGUGGAAGCUCAGUCUAUGCCUGCGCCACACCUCUGCGUGCCUCAGACAGCUGGUGGUGAAAGCAGCCAGCAGGGCUCAGGCCAGAGCCAGGUGGUGCCACCCUUGAUGCCCUUGGAGAUGACUUGUGAAUGCUGUGAUAUCCCUGAGAGUGUCCUCACACCAAAUUCAGCAACACCCCCCAGUGAGGUCGAGGAAGCAGUCCUUCGUGAACUCAUUGAGAUUUUGGAUGAGAACAGCCAAGCAACGUCCCAUGAACAGGUCCACCCCACAGCAGACUACCAGAACACCCAUGUCACUGGCACCCCAGAGAUAUCACUCACUGACUGCCAGAAGACACAUGAUGCUGCAAGCAUGGGUGAGUGCAUGUAUAUAGAAUUGAGUUAGAGUGAAUGUCAACAUGGGAACUGUAUGAUCUGAAGCUUACAAAACUUUAUCAGAGAAGACAAGGGGAUUGAGAAAAUAUACAAGUAAGUUUCAUGAAACCCUGACCUGGGAUUUGAGAAAAAGACAUGAUAAUUAAGAUGCAAAUUUUUUAAGA
ensembl:lincRNA